UACGUAGGGCGCAAGCGUUAUCCGGAAUUAUUGGGCGUAAAGAGCUCGUAGGCGGUUUGUCGCGUCUGCCGUGAAAGUCCGGGCUCAACUCCGGAUCUGCGGUGGUACGGCAGACUAGAGUGAUGUAGGAGACUGGAAUCCUGUGUAGCGUGAAUGCGCAGAUAUCAGAGACACGAUGCGAGCAGAUCUCUGCAUACUGACGCUGAGAGCUGAAAAAAGCAUGGGGG
rnacentral:rRNA from 1 species